AACUUUCAACAACGGAUCUCUUGGUUCUGGCAUCGAUGAAGAACGCAGCGAAAUGCGAUAAGUAAUGUGAAUUGCAGAAUUCCGUGAAUCAUCGAAUCUUUGAACGCAUAUUGCGCCCUCUGGUAUUCCGGGGGGCAUGCCUGUCCGAGCGUCAUUAGCAACCUCUCAAGCGCGGCUUGUGUGUUGGACGGGCGUACCGACGAGGCACCCUUCGGGGUCCUCGUGGGUACGCGUCCGAAAUGCAGUGGCGGCGUCGCGUCCCGACCUCGCAAGCGUAUGGGGCUCUGUCACACGCUGGGCGAUCGGGCGUACCUACGCCUGCCUCAUCAGACACCUUUCUCAGGUUGACCUCGGAUCAGGUAGGGAUACCCGCUGAACUUAAGCAUAUCAAUAAGCGGAGGAAAAGAAACCAACAGGGAUUGCCUCAGUAACGGCGAGUGAAGCGGCA
rnacentral:misc_RNA from 1 species